CACACGGCUCCUCCUCCUGAAAAUAUUCUGGAUGUCAGGACCACAGUAUGUAUAAACCUGAUAACACAUAACAGAAGCCUUGCUACUGCCAUAGACCUAGAAGGAAUUUAACCCAGGGUAUCCUUCUAAUAGCCAAGCAUUUCAGGAACGGGAUACUGAGUAAGAAGUGUGCUACUCUCUCUUAUAGUAAUGUGAGAUGGAUCUUUUUGUUCUCAUCCAUAAUCUUGAACGUAAGAAAGUCUAACGGGAACACUGUAUAGCCUCAGUCCUCCAGACACUCAAAGUCAGAUUUACCAGCAGGACACCAAUAUCCACAAAAGUGCACUAACAAGGCAAACAUAGACUUGGUGUCAUUGAGUUCCUCCCCUGUUGUUUCAAAUGGCAAUUUCAUGUGGGCAAGUGAAAGGCAAUGAAUUUUUUCUCUGCAAAACUGGAGGGACACUGGAAGUCAUCAAGCAAGUCACACAGCAAGUAGACCAAGUGUAGGAGCUGUUUACAGAACACUGCCUGCAUAUUCGUGGGUGAAGAUCUUAAAGUGUUCCCUGAGCAUGACCCAUCUUGGAUGCACAGUUGUGACAAUGAGGAUCUCCGCUGGGAAACACUCCUGGAAGAGCAGUCCAGAUUCCAUCACAUGGAUCAGCCCUGUUGACUAAACCUGCUUUUAUAGGGCAGCAGACAACCAAAGGGUGGCACCCUGAGGAUUUUGCUGCUUCUGGGAUACUUCUAGUUAUUCAGUAAAUUUUAAUUAAUUGGCUUGCCUGUUCCAGUAUUUUUGCAGUUCUACAAAAGUGAAUAAAAGGAAGACCACACACAUUUCUCUAUUUGUGCACUAAAUGUGCAUCCCAGCAUUUUUUGGAACACAGGAGGCUUUCCAGGACCUGGCAUAUCUUUAUGCAUACAUGUGCUGAGCACUGUAAGCCUAUGAAGAGCUCAAAGGUCAUGUCUACAUGGUCUGAUAGACUGCACAGCUUCCAUUUGAAAACAGAGGCACAGUGAGAAAUAACUUCACUUUGCAAAGGCAAGAGAAGCCUGAAGCAACAAAUCCCCCACCUCCCUGCAAGUAGCAUUGGUGCCAACAUCGUAGUAGCUGUUCAAAACAUUAAUAGUAGAAUGUAGAGAACAGUUUUGCAUAAGAUCCAAGGGUAACAAGUCAAUAACUAAUUUACACUGUCAUGCUUAUUUAAGUACUAUUUUGUGUUUCCUAGGGACACAACAUAACUUGGAUAACACUUACUGACAGAUGACAGAUUGUCUCCACAGCUUUAUGCAACCUAUGCUCUGCAAAAUACUGUUCACUACAAGCAAAAUCAGUAAAAACUGAUGAAAACAUUUCUUUCCUCUUUUGCCAAGGUUCUCAUAUUAAAACACUCCAACUCAACACAGUUAAAAUGGAGCAAGUCAUAUAAAUUCAGUAUUAUAAUAUUAUACAAAUUAAUACUCAAUCAGGUGCCAGAAGAUGGAACACAGAUCUCAUUUUCUUCUAGAUUUUCAUAAUAAAUUAAUGUUUACAUUCUUCUCAUCAAGAAUAGUGCAACCCUAGAACAUUAAAAAAUAUGAGUUUCACAUUAUAAAAACAGUAUUAGGUAACUAAUAAACUCACUCAGAAUUUCCUGAUUGUAUCUCAUUUUGAGUAGCAUGAUAAAAUGAAGAAACCUAUCAGGAUUUUUCACAAAAUGGAAACUUAGUACACAGUUCAAUGUUGCACAGGUCUUGUCCAAGAUUUUUAUUUUAAUUGUUAUUUAAGAGUGGCGUAUUUCACUUGCCAUUUUUCAUGAGCUUAUGUCCAGAUUACCUGAAGACUCUGCAGCAUCUUUCCUCCACUGUCUCACCUGAGUCUGAAGGACUUUUUCAUGGCCCGAGCUUGUUUCUGCUGAGCCAGCAGGCUGGUACUCUUAGCUGUGCGAAGAGCAUAAAAUUGUCUUUUAUGAGUGGGAGGCAAUGAGUGGGAAGAGGUAAAGCAGUUUCUUUCCUGAGCAGCCUGCCUUGGGAGGAAUAAGACUGAUGGCUGGUAUUAACAGCCAAGAUAAACCCAAGGUAGGGUGCCAAGGGAUGCAGAACUCACACGAUGGCGUUUGGCAGCCCUGUCCCAAAGGCCACCUGACAUCUCUCAUGUCUUGCUGGACAGUUUUGCAUCCGCAUCCUUUUGCCACACAUCCCCAUUGGGCAGUGGUCUCAAGAAGGCAAUGUUUUGUGUUUGCUUGUUUACGUUUUUCCUUGGAAAACCAGCCAGGAGUCAAUUGUACCAGCCAGUCCAGUCUUCUGGGCUGGAAGACAUCCAGCACAAAAUAAGGUAGAGAUUGGGAGAAACUGGUAAACAAAAUGAAAACAUCCUAAGAUUAGUUAUGCCGCAGGCUAAUAAUUCAGAGGUUAGAGAGAAGUGUUGCACUUCUUCAAAUCAGGUGUAUGCAUUCAAUUGUCUCAACUAGUAGGUGGCUAUUCAAGACUUUAACGUUGAGUGGGAGUUGUUCUUUUUUUGGAAAGGGAGUGUUACACCAGUCAGGGAGAACAAAGAGUCUUAUUUAUUUAUUUACAUUUUAAUAUAUUGUUAAUUUAUGAUUAAUUGUUUAC